CGAACGCUGGCGGCAUGCCUAACACAUGCAAGUCGAACGAGACCUUCGGGUCUAGAGGCGCACGGGUGCGUAACGCGUGGGAACCUGCCCUUAGGUUCGGAAUAACUCCCCGAAAGGGGUGCUAAUACCGGAUAAUGUCUUCGGACCAAAGAUUUAUCGCCUUUGGAUGGGCCCGCGUUGGAUUAGCUAGUUGGUAGGGUAAAAGCCUACCAAGGCGACGAUCCAUAGCUGGUCUGAGAGGAUGAUCAGCCACACUGGGACUGAGACACGGCCCAGACUCCUACGGGAGGCAGCAGUGGGGAAUAUUGGACAAUGGGCGAAAGCCUGAUCCAGCAAUGCCGCGUGAGUGAUGAAGGCCUUAGGGUUGUAAAGCUCUUUUACCCGGGAUGAUAAUGACAGUACCGGGAGAAUAAGCUCCGGCUAACUCCGUG
rnacentral:rRNA from 1 species